GGAGGGGUCGCAUAGUGGCCUAGUGCGAUUGUUUGCUAAACAAUUGACGGUGAAAGCCGUCCGAGAGUUCGAAUCUCUCCCCCUCCG
rnacentral:tRNA from 1 species